GCUGCAAUGUAUAUAAAGUCAAAGGAGGAAAAAUCUGAGUCAUACAAAGUGACAAGCUUUCAUCAGGUGGACUAACAGAGUAAGAACCUUUUUCAUUCAUUCAUUUCAGUAAGUUAUAUUUAUUCAUCUUUACUGCUGAAAAUAAAAGUAGCUAAAUUAAAGUGAUGAAUUUUUUUUCAGUUUUAAAAGAUUCCUAAUAUUUUUCAUGCUUUGCGUUUUUGAUCUAUAAUGUCCUUAAAAUUUUAAAAGGAUUUCUAAAGAAAAUGCAAGGGAUUUAACUAACACUUGUUAGAUAUUUUCUGAAAAAUAAAUGACUAAUUCUGGUAUGUUUAUUCUGUUGACUGUGCUACUCUUCUUCUACAGAUUAGGUUGACAUGAAACUAGGAUUGCUGCUGUUUCUAGGAAUUGUGUUCCUGGUGCCCCACGACUCAGAGAGUCGGACUGUCUCUGAACAUGAGCUCAAAAAGUGGCUUAAGCUUAUGCUCCACCUGCCUCCAAGAUAUGGUACAAGAAUUGAAACAUGGUACAAGAACUGGAUCUUGUCCAAAGUUAUCUUUGAAGCAAAAAGGGGUUCCCAUCUGAACACCGGAAUGCUUAAGGUCUGUGGCAUACGAAAUACUGCACUUACCAACCAAACAACAAAGGCCCACGAUGACAACUACGACAAUCAAUCCAACUACGGCAUCUAUGAAAACUAUGACAACCAGGCCAACUCCAACAAUCAUGUCACAACUGAUAACCCGUCAACUGCCAACAAACGCAGACGUAAGCGGCAGUUCGAUCUUGAUGACGGGUCCGGCUCAGGGAUGAUGCCACUUGAAAACAUGAUACAUGAGGAAGAAAUCAAGUUUGAUGAGCAGGAGUUGAUUCAGGAUGACAAUUACAUAAAUGGAGAAGAGUAUGGUGGGGGAAAUAAUGGCAGGCAGAUGUCAACAACUUGGUCGGUUGGUUAUUAUGGGAUCUUCCAACUGUCUGACAGCCACUUCUGUGACUCAGGCUAUCGCUGGUCGAGAAAUAAGUGCAAAACAAGCUGCACAGGUGAGUCUCUAAUAACAAUAACCACUGUAGUAUAAUGGAUUAAAAAAUUCUUAAUCCUCACAUAUAUUAUGAUUUUUGUUUCUCUUGAAGCCUUUUUGGAUGAUGACAUAGAAGAUGACAUUUUUUGCCUUUUUCAAAGCGGGUUCUGGCAGUAAGUCACUUCUACAACCAAUAUCCACAAGCAAUUGUAUAUAAUAAAUGACACAUUACAUUUCA
rnacentral:lncRNA from 1 species